CGUGAAAUUGUUGAAAGGGAAGCGCUUGCAACCAGACUUGCACGCUGUUGAUCAUCCAGGCUUCUGUUUGGUGCACUCAACUGUGUUCAGGCCAGCAUCGGUUUUGGUGGUGGGAUAAAGGCCUUGGGAAUGUAGCUUCUUUCGGGGAGUGUUAUAGCCCUCGGUGCAAUGCCACCUACUGGGACCGAGGACCGCGCUUCGGCUAGGAUGCUGGCGUAAUGGUUGUAAGCGACCCGUCUUGAAACACGG
rnacentral:rRNA from 1 species